UGCGUAGGCGGAAAAAUAAGUCAGUGGUGAAAUCCCGUGGCUCAACCACGGAACUGCCAUUGAUACUGUUUUUCUUGAGUAUAGUUGAGGUAGGCGGAAUGUGUCAUGUAGCGGUGAAAUGCUUAGAUAUGACCCAGAACACCGAUUGCGUAGGCAGCUUGCUAAACUAUCACUGACGCUGAUGCACGAAAGCGUGGGUAGCGAACAGGAUUAGAUACCCUGGUAGUCC
rnacentral:rRNA from 1 species